UACAGAGGGGGCAAGCGUUGUUCGGAAUUACUGGGCGUAAAGCGUGCGCAGGCGGCUUCUCAAGUCAGGGGUGAAAGCCCAGAGCUCAACUCUGGAAUUGCCUUUGAGACUGAGUGGCUUGAGUACGAGAGAGGUGAGUGGAAUUCCCAGUGUAGAGGUGAAAUUCGUAGAUAUUGGGAAGAACACCGGUGGCGAAGGCGGCUCACUGGCUCGUAACUGACGCUCAUGCACGACAGCGUGGGGAUCAAACAGG
rnacentral:rRNA from 1 species